rnacentral:rRNA from 1 species
GAGACAGCAGCAGCCGCGGUAAUACGUAGGGGGCAAGCGUUAUCCGGAAUUACUGGGUGUAAAGGGAGCGUAGACGGUUAAACAAGUCUGAAGUGAAAUGCCGGGGCUCAACCCCGGAGCUGCUUUGGGAACUGUAGAACUGGAGUGUCGGAGGGGUAAGCGGAAUUCCCAGUGUAGCGGUGAAAUGCGUAGAUAUUGGGAGGAACACCGGCGGCGAAGGCGGCUUACUGGACGACAACUGACGUUGAGGCUCGAAGGCGUGGGUAGCAAACAGGAUUAGAUACCCGAGUAGUCCCUGUCUCUUAUCC